GAUGAAGAACGCAGCGAAAUGCGAUAAGUAAUGCGAAUUGCAGAAUUCAGUGAAUCAUCGAAUCUUUGAACGCACAUUGCGCCCCUUGGUAUUCCGAGGGGCAUGCCUGUUCGAGCGUCAUUAUAACCCCUCAAGCUCAGCUUGGUGUUGGGGCCUGCUGCACUGGCAGCCCUUAAAAUCAGUGGCGGCGCCAUCUGGCUCUAAGCGUAGUAAUUCUUCUCGCUAUGGAGUCCUGGUGGAUGCUUGCCAUCAACCCCCAAUUUUUCUAUGGUUGACCUCGGAUCAGGUAGGGAUACCCGCUGAACUUAAGCAUAUCAAUAAGCGGAGGA
rnacentral:misc_RNA from 1 species